AUUGAACGCUGGCGGAAUGCUUUACACAUGCAAGUCGAACGGCAGCACGGACUUCGGUCUGGUGGCGAGUGGCGAACGGGUGAGUAAUACAUCGGAACGUGCCCAGUCGUGGGGGAUAACGUAGCGAAAGCUACGCUAAUACCGCAUACGAUCUAAGGAUGAAAGCGGGGGAUCGCAAGACCUCGCGCGAUUGGAGCGGCCGAUGGCAGAUUAGGUAGUUGGUGGGGUAAAGGCUCACCAAGCCGACGAUCUGUAGCUGGUCUGAGAGGACGACCAGCCACACUGGGACUGAGACACGGCCCAGACUCCUACGGGAGGCAGCAGUGGGGAAUUUUGGACAAUGGGCGAAAGCCUGAUCCAGCCAUUCCGCGUGCAGGAUGAAGGCCCUCGGGUUGUAAACUGCUUUUGUACGGAACGAAAAGGCUCUGGUUAAUACCUGGGGCUCAUGACGGUACCGUAAGAAUAAGCACCGGCUAACUACGUGCCAGCAGCCGCGGUAA
rnacentral:rRNA from 1 species